rnacentral:lncRNA from 1 species
UUAGACACUAUGGAUUGCCAGAGCUGACACUUGUCCCUCCACUGGGACACAACAGAGCUUCAUCCUCUACCAGUCCAGAGCCUGGAGUCUUUUCAGGUUAUACAGGUUGGGUGUGGUCAACCUGUAGCCCCUUUCUCUGCUGAAGUCAGUUUCCUACUUUGUUGGUCAUGAAGGGAUGGUGGAGCUGCAACAUGGCUGAUUGAAGCCAUGGAGAAUGGAGAUUGCUGUGCACACCAUUAAUGUUACUAUGGCCCCAGGUGACUUGCUACUCAAGGAGCUAGAAGGCAACACUUGGUGGUACUGUGCAGCCUGCAGACUGAUGUCAGUCUUCACUAAAGAAACUUCCAAGGUAAAAUGGAUCCAAGCUUUUUGGUGAGACAGAACAUCAUUGAACCCACCAUGUCUUCCAGUAUCAAUGGCUC